rnacentral:rRNA from 1 species
AGAACUUAGCAGAGAUGCUUUGGUGCCUUCGGGAACUCUGAGACAGGUGCUGCAUGGCUGUCGUCAGCUCGUGUUGUGAAAUGUUGGGUUAAGUCCCGCAACGAGCGCAACCCUUUAUCCUUUGUUGCCAGCGGGUUAUGCCGGGAACUCAAAGGAGACUGCCAGUGAUAAACUGGAGGAAGGUGGGGAUGACGUCAAGUCAUCAUGGCCCUUACGAGUAGGGCUACACACGUGCUACAAUGGCGCAUACAAAGAGAAGCGACCUCGCGAGAGCAAGCGGACCUCAUAAAGUGCGUCGUAGUCCGGAUUGGAGUCUGCAACUCGACUCCAUGAAGUCGGAAUCGCUAGUAAUCGUAGAUCAGAAUGCUACGGUGAAUACGUUCCCGGGCCUUGUACACACCGCCCGUCACACCAUGGGAGUGGGUUGCAAAAGAAGUAGGUAGCUUAACCUUCGGGAGGGCGCUUACCACUUUGUGAUUCAUGACUGGGGUGAAGUCGUAACAAGGUAGGCGUAGUGCU